rnacentral:lncRNA from 1 species
GUUUUCCCUAAAUUAUACAAUCAACCAUACAAUUUAAGAAACAAAGCAAGUAACUAUUUCAACCUUACUAUAUGCGAGCAUGAAUUUCCAAACCUUUUCUGACACAUAAAUGAGUGAAAUCUUCAACAAAAUUUAGAAAAAAACUGGACAUCCCAUCACAUCCUUGAACCUUAUGAUGCCUUUAAUUGAGUUCCUCUGUAGUCUUGGCGCCAGCCUAAGGAGGCAUGUGGUUUAUAAAGUAGGAAUAUUAGUAUCCAUUGGUGUCUCUAACAAGUACUAAUGUUGAGUAAUCAAUACUAAUUAAAGACACAAACAAAUACUAAUUUCUUUAACUAGUACUGUUUACUUGAUAUUAGUAUCAGUUGGAGAUACAAACUGGUACUGGUGUAUUCUACGAGGACAUAACAGUUAAUAUCGGUACUGAUGCUUAAUUCAAUACCAUUUCUAAAGUAACUGGUAUUGAUCUUCUCAGGCAGAAGCCCCAUUCUCCACUAGUAGAUGACUCCAACUCUAGCAAGAAAAUGAAGAUGGGAAAGAGAAGGCAAGGGGGAAGGGAUGACAUGAGGAAAGCAUCUAGAGGAGACACACCUACAACCUUUAUAAGAGUAGGCCACGAUGAUGGUGGCGGAACAGUGGCAGCGAUGGUGACACCUUUAGGGAGCACGGGGGGGGGGGGGUGAGAGGUCGUGACUCGCGCGCGCUUAGGUUUGUUCCUAGCUUUAGGAGACGUGGCUCGAGACCCACGUGGUUAAGCGUUGUUUUGGAUCGAACCAUUAUGUGCUCAUCCUUGCCAAAUGUGAUUUUAGCAUCCACACGAAUAUUUCCCCAAUGUAGGACGAGCACCUAACCUUAGGAGACAUGCCAAGAGACCCACAUGGUUAAACAUGGUUUUCGAUGGGAGAACAUAUCAGGUGCACAUGGCACUUUGGUGCACCUGGUGCAUAAAUUAAAUAAUAUCUAUCAAUCUCAGAUCUAACGUCCUUUAUUGUUAUGUAUAUUUUGCAAAGAAAGUAGGGUAAAAGUGGUGGAGGAUAGUAGUAGAGAAUGUUCUUUGCAAAAAUAUACAAAACAUAAAGGAACAUUAGAUUUGAUAUGGAUGACAUGAUUUAAUAUGUACACUAUGUGUAUCAAAGCGCCAUAUGAAUCUGAUAUCUUUAAUACUAUAAAGCACUAGUUUCUACCGUCGUCGUGCAUCAUGCGCGAAGCUCAUAGGUUUGUUCCUCUCCCCCGCAUCUCGCGUAACAAGUAGUAACAUAGAUAAUCUUCCAUGCAUGUGAUCAAAUAAGAAUGAAAAAUAAUAAGGCACCAGUUAGCACCGUUUCCACCGUAGUCAUGUGUCACGCGUGAAGUGAGUAGGUCAGUUCCUCUCCCUCACGUCUCUCCUAACAAACAGUGUUACAGAUAAGCUUCCAUGCAUGUGAUCAGAUAAGAACAACAAAAAUAAGAUAGAUUUGCAUGCAUGUGAUCGGAUAAGGACAACAAAAAUAGGAUAUGGAAGCUAACUAAAUAAGCACAAGAGUACACCCCAAUAAAUUAUUAAUAAUCCACUCAUCUAUCAUCAAGAUCCCUUUUUGCUACUCACCCGAUGUCGCCAUGCGUGAUGCCUGCAUUGUGUGUUGGACCUGGACAUGGUUAGCCGCAUGGUGCGGCGUGUAGGAUGAGCUGGAGCACGGUCAUGACGUGGCGUGCAUCGUAGUGCAGAGCCGAGGCGAGCACCCGCUGCUGCAGGAGGUGGUGAGGGAGGAGGCAUGACCGCGAC